rnacentral:precursor_RNA from 8 species
UCCUGUUUUUUUACACAGUAUGUCUCUUUGUCCCUGAGACCCUUAACCUGUGAGGUCAAACUAGGUCACAGGUGAGGUCCUCAGGAACAGGGCUGCAUGCGUCGUCAUCCCCAAACGUC